rnacentral:rRNA from 1 species
AGGCAACUCUGAACCAGCCAUGCCGCGUGCAGGAUGACGGUCCUAUGGAUUGUAAACUGCUUUUGUACUGGAAGAAACCUCGCUACGUGUAGCGAUUUGACGGUACUGUAAGAAUAAGGAUCGGCUAACUCCGUGCCAGCAGCCGCGGUAAUACGGAGGAUCCGAGCGUUAUCCGGAAUUAUUGGGUUUAAAGGGUUCGUAGGCGGUUAGAUAAGUCAGUGGUGAAAUUUCUUAGCUUAACUAAGACCCGGCCAUUGAUACUGUUUGACUUGAAUAGUAUGGAAGUAACUAGAAUAUGUAGUGUAGCGGUGAAAUGCUUAGAUAUUACAUGGAAUACCAAUUGCGAAGGCAGGUUACUACGUACUUAUUGACGCUGAUGAACGAAAGCGUGGGGAGCGAACAGGAUUAGAUACCCUGGUAGUCCACGCCGUAAACGAUGGAUACUAGCUGUUCGGUUUUCGGACUGAGUGGCUAAGCGAAAGUGAUAAGUAUCCCACCUGGGGAGUACGUUCGCAAGAAUGAAACUCAAAGGAAUUGACGG